rnacentral:rRNA from 1 species
UACGAAGGGGGCUAGCGUUGCUCGGAAUCACUGGGCGUAAAGGGUGCGUAGGCGGGUCUUUAAGUCAGAGGUGAAAUCCUGGAGCUCAACUCCAGAACUGCCUUUGAGACUGCAUCGCUUGAAUCCAGGAGAGGUGAGUGGAAUUCCGAGUGUAGAGGUGAAAUUCGUAGAUAUUCGCAAGAACACCAGUGGCGAAGGCGGCUCACUGGCCCGGUACUGACGCUGAGGUGCGAAAGCGUGGGGAGCAAACAGG